UUAGAUACCCUAUUAUAUUAAUGAAACCCUAGAUUAAUAGUAGAUAUGUUCUUUAAAUUUGAAGAAUUUGGCGGUGGUUUAGUCUUGUUAGAGGAACCUGUUUUUGAAUCGAUACACCACGUAGAAUUUUACUCAUUUUAUUUUGUUUAUAUACCGUCAUUAUCAGAUAAUUUUUAAAGAAAUAAUUAUUAAAAUUUAUAUAAAUAAAUUAAAUUAGAUCAAGGUGUAGCUAAUAAAUGAGUUAAAAUGGGUUACAAUAAAAUAUAUUUAUACGGAUUAGUUGUAGAAGUGAAAUUAUAAAGGAGGAUUUAAUUGUAAUUUGAGUUUAAUAAGCUUAAAAGAUAUAAGCUCUAAAUCAUGUACAUAUCGCCCGUCGCUA
rnacentral:rRNA from 1 species